rnacentral:rRNA from 1 species
CCCUUAGAUGUUCUGGGCCGCACGCGCGCUACACUGAUGCAUUCAACGAGCCUAUCCUUGACCGACAGGUCCGGGUAAUCUUUGAAUCUGCAUCGUGACGGGGAUAGAUUAUUGCAAUUAUUAAUCUUCAACGAGGAAUGCCUAGUAGGCGCAAGUCAUCAGCUUGCGUCGAUUACGUCCCUGCCCUUUGUACCCACCGCCCGUCGCUCCUACCGAUUGGGUGUGCUGGUGAAAUGUUCGGAUCGGCCGUUUGUCGCGGUUUCCGCGGCUCGUGGCUGAGAAGUUCAUUAAACCCUCCCACCUAGAGGAAGGAGAAGUCGUAACA